UUCCUACGGGGGGCAGCAGUGGGGAAUAUUGCGCAAUGGGGGCAACCCUGACGCAGCAACGCCGCGUGAUUGAAGAAGGCCUUCGGGUUGUAAAGAUCUUUACACAGGGACGAAGAAAUGACGGUACCUGAAGAAUAAGCUCCGGCUAACUACGUGCCAGCAGCCGCGGUAAUACGUAGGGAGCAAGCGUUAUCCGGAUUUAUUGGGUUUAAAGGGUGCGCAGGCGGACCAUCAAGUCAGCGGUAAAAUCGUGGGGCCCAACCCCAUCCCGCCGUUGAAACUGGCGGUCUUGAGUGAGCGAGAAG
rnacentral:rRNA from 1 species